rnacentral:rRNA from 1 species
AUGGUUGAUAUUUCGCGGUUGAACUAUGAUGUCAUUACUCUCAUUCCUAAGGUUAAAGGAGCCGACCUUACUUCACAAUUUAGACUUAUCGCCCUUAUCAAUAAUUUUGCGAACUUCCCUUCCAAAGGUUUCGCUAACCGCCUCUCCCCCAUCGCUCAUCGGUCCCUUAACCCUUUCCAAUCGGCCUUUGUCAAAGGAAGAUUCAUCUUAGACGGCAUCUUGUGUCUGCACGAAAUCGUUCAUGAUCUUAGGGUGCGCGGCACCAAGGCCGUGACCCUUAAGCUAGAUUUUGAGAAAGCCUAUGAUUCGGUGAGCUGGUCUUUUCUGCGUCUGGUCUUGUUGGCCAAGGGUUUUGAUGGGGCUUAUGUCCAUAGGAUUAUGCAGCUGGUGACGGGAGGUUACACUGUGGUCUCGGUUAAUGCUAGGGUUAGCAACUUCUUUCCUAAUGGUAGGGGCCUGAGACAAGGGGAUCCGGCAUCCUCGCUUCUAUUCAAUUUCGUCACGGAUGCUUUAUCUCGCAUCUUAUCUAGGGCGGCCACGCCUGGCCACAUUUCCCCUGCUAUUUCUCAUCUUAUUCCCGAGGGCGUCACACACCUUCAAUAUGCAGAGGAUACGAUCAUCAUGGUUGACUAA